GACGAACGCUGGCGGCGUGCCUAAUACAUGCAAGUAGGACGCAGUUGCGAACGGGUGAGUAACGCGUAGGUAACUACCUAUUAGAGGGGGAUAACUAUUGGAAACGAUAGCUAAUACCGCAUACUAGUAGAUGGACCUGCGUUGUAUUAGCUAGUAGGUAGGGUAAUGGCCUACCUAGGCAACGAUACAUAGCCGGCCGUGAGAGUUGAUGGGGCAAACCGGGAACGGGGCACCGGCCAGAUGCCGACGGGAGGCAGGAGUGGGGGAACUUCGGGAAAUGGGGGAACACUGACCGAGCAAAGGCGCGUGAGUGAAGAAGGUUUUCGGGUCGUAAAGCUCUGUUGUUAAGGAAGCGGUACUUAACCAGAAAGGGACGGCUAACUACGUGCCAGCAGCCGCGGUAAUAA
rnacentral:rRNA from 1 species